CCUACGGGGGGCUGCAGUGGGGAAUAUUGCACAAUGGGCGCAAGCCUGAUGCAGCGACGCCGCGUGAGGGAUGACGGCCUUCGGGUUGUAAACCUCUUUCGUCAGGGAAGAAGCCUUUGGGUGACGGUACCUGGAGAAGAAGCACCGGCUAACUACGUGCCAGCAGCCGCGGUAAUACGUAGGGUGCGAGCGUUGUCCGGAAUUAUUGGGCGUAAAGAGCUUGUAGGCGGUUUGUCGCGUCUGCGGUGCAAACCUGGGGCUUAACCCUGGGCGGG
rnacentral:rRNA from 1 species